UCCAACUCCAGUAGCUAGCGAUUUAUCCCUGUUUAUUUUUGUUAAUCCGGCAUCUUUGACUUUUGGCUUGUCUUCUCGACUUCUCCCUGGUAUUAGGGAUUUUUUACUCUGACAACUCCUGGCUUUUGACGCAGAUAGUGGACAUUGACUUUGUGGAGGGACUGUCACCGUGGUUACGGACCCAUCGCCUAGGGCAGGAUACGACAAUUGUAGAAAUUAACAUUUUACCCUGAGUCCACUCAUAUCAAUGACAACAGCUGGUACUCCUUCUUCAUCGCCUUUGGGGGCAACUUGAUUAAGCAAGUUGUAAUAAGCUUUGGAGUCCUGAAAAGAAAAAGAAAACAUAAAAAUGUUAGCAGAGAAGCAAAGAGUGAUGUUAUUGCUGGAAGAAACAUAUCCUUCAACAUCUACUAUAUCCCCUAUAAACUAUUUAGGACAUACUGUACUAAUGAGGGUCAAUGACCAGAAACAGCUGGCUGAAGAUGGGAGAUUUCUGGCUUGGCAUAACUUUCCAUGUCGGUUACAAAACCUCCAGAGCUGGAAUUAAACACUGAUGUUAAGGGAUGAAAAAUGUGCAACUUUACUUUGAGCCUUCGGUGGGCACUCAGUUUGCUUCAGCUAUUUCCCAGGGUCUUGUUUCCUAGGAUAAGAAGAACAGGAACCACUACUUCUACCUAAGAACAGGAAAAGGAGACCUGAUCAUAGUCACCAUGGGAGGUCAGCUUCCUGUCGGAGGAGGACAAUGCUGUUAAGCAUCUCUCCGAUUAUAGAUAGGUUGUGCUAGCUUGA